rnacentral:tRNA from 7 species
CGGGGUGUGGCUCAGCUUGGCUAGAGCGCUUGAUUUGGGAUCAAGAGGUCGCAGGUUCGAAUCCUGUCACCCCGAC